GUUAUAAUAUUGAGAUCUAUAAAAAGGCCUCGAUUUUUGUCGUAAUCUUAGUCUUCAAAGUAUCUCCAUAUAAAAUGUUCCUAACGAAGUAUCUUCCACAAUACCUCAUACUCGGUUUGAUGCUUUCAUCGUUAAUACACUGCAUAUUAGCAGCUCCAAUUGCAGAGAAAGUUCAAGCAAACGAUGAUGAGGAACAAACUGGUAAAGAAGUUAAUUUAUUACCUCCGAAAAUUCAAAAAGCAGUGUGUAUAUUGUGGUACAUAUGUUUGGGAAUGGGUAUUGAUAUACACGAUAACAAUGAUGGUAGCAGCACAACUUAGCCAGAAUAUGCCCAUAAAAACGAGAGCUGGUGAAGCAAUUAGCCACAAUAGACAGGAUCAUGAUGAAGUUAAUCUAUUCUCUACUAGAUUGUAAAACAACGUAUUAAUUUUGAGAGUCACGGUUUCUUUUAAAAUAUAUAUAAAUUUCGACUGCUAGAAUCGAAUCGAUUAAUAAGAACAACUUACUAAAACAAGUCAGGUAUCUCGUUUAAUGAAAUAUCAAAAUUUCUUGUCUUUUUAUUAUCUUUAUUUAAAAGGUUUUUAGCCACAGACAGGCUGGAUCACCUCUGAAAAAAAUUAAACUAUUUACGAAACAAUUACAAGUUGUUGUAUAAACAUGAUUCCUUAAGGAAUCAUGAUGUCGACCCAAUGAUCAUUGGAAAGUGUGUUACAGAUGGAUUGGUCUAUAUUAGGGAUACCAUACGUACUCUUUUAAGAGUACAUGUACUCUUUUUCGAUCGAAAAAUGGGCGUACUCUUCUUUUUGUGAAAUUUUACCAAAUGUACUCUUUUUUUUGUUGAAAGUCAUUUCAUCAGAAAUACCAACGUAUUUCUUCCUAUUUAUGAAGUUGUUUCACAUCUUAUGCAAAAACUAUAAAAAGAAAACAGCUUGAGACACAUUACUUUUACGUUUUGUUUAAAAAAAACGUACAUUUUUAGCAGUUAUAAACAGCGAGGGUGAUAAGCGCCUUUGAAUAUGCAAACAGUAAUCAAUAAACAAACAAUUUAGGUAUAGUACGAGAAUAUUUUUUAAAGAAAAUUUAUAAUUGUCAUGUGAGUCACAUAACCUCCAAGAAAUUAACAGUAUUUGGUUAUGUCAAUUGAAAUAUCUCGGUGCCACCUCAGAUAGCUCGAAAUAUGUACUGAGAAUCCCGCUCAUCCGAGCUUCGCUAUUACGAGCAACCGCGUUAUGUGAGGCACAUUUUUUAUCCAAAAUCCAUGUGAAAAUGUAUUUUAUUAUAGCGAUAUAUUGUUAAGCUAUUAGAAUCUAAACUUGCCAGAAACGUCAAUUAUAUAGAAAAACAAAAUCUAUGUAUGUAAGAACCGAGCUAUGCGCCUAGAUGAUAUGCAAUA